GCAAACUUCCGUGGAUGUUAAUUUAAAAAUUUCUUCUACCUGGAGUUGCGAAGAAAUAACAAAAACUGCACUGUAUUCCUUGGGAUAUUGUUAAAGCUGGAAAUUUUGAGAUUGAACUUCAAUGCUCACUUUUCCUGAGCUCAAGCAGAUGUUGCUGAGAUUGGUGCCCACUCCCCCUGGACCCCAGCCGGUGCGGAGCCCCACUGAAUGAAGGAUAAUCAGGUGGAAUCGAGGCCUCUGCUCUCACCGCCAUCGCCCGUCUGUGUCUGUCAAAACUCAGAUAUACGGCACGUGCUCGGUCACAAUAUCAGCUAAAGCGGUUCAGGCUCAUCGAGAACUGCUGCACGUCUUCAUGUAAAGUGCUAUAUGAAAACAAAAGACCACCAAAUGUGAUUUGCUGGUGCUGAGGUCAGCAAUGUACAGUAGCACACAUUUAGUGUAAAGAAGCCGUGCGUUCUCAAGACACUCGGGUGUGAACUCACAGAAAGCCUUUCAAAAGCGGCCUGGACACAGUUAGCUAAAAAUCAUGGAGGAGGAGCCCCCCCAGUGUUAACACUUCAGAGUGCAGAAUAUGAAGGUGCAGCAUUUGUCAGGGAUGGGGUAGUGGACAUGUUUAAAGACACUUGCACUUAAAAGCACACUGUGGCCAUCUUUUGUAACAUUAAAAAGCAGCAGCAGUGUUAGGGGUUGCAUGAAGUAAAGAUGACCCCUUUCCAAACAAAAAAUAAAAUCGACAGCCUAAGGCACUCACAGCAAACAAUGAGAAGGGUCUUAUGAAUAUUUACAUAUAUCUCUUUGAGGGUAUUCAUCCAAAGCAGGGUUCUUCAAAUGCAAUUCUGGGGGCCACAAUGGCUCCAGAUUUCUGCCCCACCUAUGCAGGUACAAAAACAUUCUAAAGCCUCACACAUUACAGACCCUGAAAAGUAAAGAAUAUGGAAGCAGGAAGGGGUGAUCUGAGACAAUGACUUAGACUGGGACUUAAACAGCUGAAUCUAAAAGGGUUCUUCUGUGGUGCACAUGUAGACGUUUACCAACAACGACAAGAAGUAUGCAUGGUGGCAUCCAACAAGAGCACUAUGUAACAGUGUCUUCUGAUCAAUAGCAGGGCGCGAUUGUGAAGUUCAUUUGGAUCAAGCAGAGUCCCAACAGACCCUUUAAGGUUGCUCUACUGUAUUUUCCGACUGCAAACUUUUGAGCUUUCAGAAGGGAAAACCACAGGAACAAUGGUCCAAGCGCAUACUGUAUAAAUCAAAAGCAACCAUCAAGAACAUCUAAACUCCUCAUCAAAAAGAAAGCAGAAAUCGAAAUGCCAACACUGCCCUUUUUGUGCUUUCCCAACUAGUGUCCAACAAUGACACAUUUAUUGUGACCUUCAGUCUUCUUGUGUCAAUGAAAGUAUGACUAUUAAGUCCAUCCAUCCAGCCAUUAUCCAACCCACUAUAUCCUAACUACAGGGUCACGGGGGUCUACUGGAGCCAA